rnacentral:lncRNA from 1 species
GGUUCCCAGAAGCACCACCACGGCUGGAGUUUUAAGGUUGAGAACAUGGGGUUCUGUAACCUGUUGCUCUUAACCACUGUCUUCCUAACCUUAUGGUUCACUACUUCCAAAGGUGAAGGAAUAGCAUGCAAACCCCCGUAUAUUCCAAAUGGAAUCUACUCACCUCAUAAGAUUAACUACACAAUCGAUGAUGAAAUAAAAUAUGAAUGUAAAAAUGGCUUCUACCCUGCAACAAAGGGAACUGUUGCAAAGUGUACAAGUAC